GGGAUGUAGCUUAAUGGUAGAGUGCUUGCCUAGCAUGCGUGAGGCCCUGGGUUCAAUCCCCAGUACACA
rnacentral:tRNA from 1 species